GGUCCCGCUCCCGACCGGACAGGGGAAAGAGAGAGGGCGACUCGCGCCAGCCCCGGUCCCUCCAACUCACCUCGCCGCUGCUCCCGCCGCCGCCGCCGCCGCCGCCACCGCCACCGCCGCCACCACCGCCACCACCGCCGCCUCCUCCUCCUGCUCCGCCGCCGCCUCCUCCUGCUCCGCCGCCGCCGCACACCUCCAUUUUGUGGUGCCAGGGAUCCUCCAGCGGAGCGAACGGCAGCAUCGCCCCUUCACCAGCCGCCGAGGAGGAGCCGGCGGCCGCCGUCGCGGCCACACAUCCCGUCGUCGCUGCUGUCGCUGCCGCCGCCGCUGCCGCGAGCCCAGCACCCGGCUCGCUGGCUCGCUCCCUCUCUCCCUCCUCCCCGCGCUCGCGCUCCCUCCUCCCCGCGCUCCGCUCCGCGGGCGCGCGGAGCCGCUGGGCUACCUCACGCGCGCGGAGCAAGGGGUGCCCUCUACCGCCCGCUGCCGCUUCCCAUAGAGGGGGCGCACGGGGGUGGAAGUGCUGCUGCCGCUGCUGCUGCCGCCGCUAAGUGGGGCUGAGGCUGAGGCUGCUGCCGCGCGGUGCCCGCUCCCGCCGCUACUGCGACUGCUGCUCAGCCGCGACUCACAACCUACCCCCCCCACCCCUCCCGCCUGAGCCGGAGUCCCAACCCCCUCCCUCGCGCCCUCCCCCGCUCCCGGCUCAGCCAAUAUGGCGGCGGCGGCGGCAGCGGCGGCGGCGGCGUUACCUGGGCGGCCGGCGCCUGGAACCCCCUACGGCGGCAGCACAGCGGCGUCACCCGGACGUCAACGGAGAUUCCCCAGCCUGGGGACCCACAAAAGCAACUGACCGUCGAACUCACACCCACCCCCUGACUUUGUGCCAGACACAUGAAAGGGUACGGACUGGAACGUCUAUUAUCUCCAUCAGCCAUGUGCCUAAAGGCAUGAGGGGACUUCCCUUUCCCCCAUUCGGUCCCGGCUCAUUUCUCUUCCUCAGUGAAGAGUCCCAUCCUGUGUGCUUCCAGAGUGUUGCGCUUUACUAUAUCGCUCACAACACACACACACACACACACACACACACACACACACACAUGCCUACACUGCCUGGGGUAAUUUCUACCCACAGAAACAACUUCGGUGAUUGCUUUUUGUGACUAGGAUGGGCUAAUGGUCUACAGCAGAUAACUCCUCUGUUGAAAGACUUUAAUCGGUAGUGGUCUCGUAACUUCAAUGUGCUUCCCUCGGCUCCUCUUUUUGAACACCUAAGAGCUCAGAGCAGACAAGCUCUCCUUGAAAUUCUGCAUGCUUAAAACAGACGCUCAGUACCUUGGACAGGUUUUUGUUGGGCUUUUUUUGGUUUGUUUUUUUUUUCCCCCAACACUGAUACCUAAAACUCUUUCCUUCCCUUAAAACUGUCACCUGGUUCCUGCCAUGGUGGCUAAAUUCCUUUCUAUAUUCUUUUUCAGUCUUACCUCAAGUGGCUGACAAACGAAAUGGAGUGUGUGUGUGUGUGUGUGUGUGUGUGUGUGUGGCAAUGAGUUUGAAAAUAAGGAGCACCAUCAGUGAUGCUAGGGGAUAGCAUAAAUGCCCUCAACCAACUCCACCAUAGUCCCAUGUAUGAAGUGAGCUUAACUGAUGUAAUUUACUAUGAGGUAAAGUUCAUUGGGAAAAAAACCGAAGUAAGGAAAAAAAAAAAAAGAAAGCCACAGUAAAUUGAAAGGGUAGAACUGGAUCAGGAAGACUGAGGUAUAUACUGUGAUUGUGUGUGAGAGCAUGCUUCUUUUGUGUGUUGAGAAUCCUGACUUGUAUUUUGAAAAGUAAGUUUUUACAUUAAGUAUGAUUAAAAGAAUAGUGAUUCCUCUCAAAAUAUAUUUAUGAUAUCCUUCUACAUCAUAGUUUUAAAACUGAGUUAGGUAUUUUUACUCACUAACACAUUUAUGGAGUGCCUACUAUUUGCAAAGUACUUUGCUAAGUUCUGUAGAGGGUACAAGUAAGGAUAUGCCUAAGACAAGGACUUGCCUUAAAAGAGCUCAUCAAAUGUAUGUACCAUAUAUCUCUGUCAAAGUCAUUUUAUCUGUAAUAGAUCCAAAGCCCCCAGAAGGCAGGGCCUUUCUAAGUUGUUUUGUUUGGGUCUCAGGGCUGUAACAGCUAUUCUUGGGGAGAAUGAUGUGUGUCUUAAAAGUGUAAGAGAUGAAAAAAAGUGUAAGAGAUUAUAUUUGUAAAGUGCUUAGCACACUGCCUGGCACAUAGUCAAUGCUUAAUAAAUACUUAUUC
rnacentral:lncRNA from 1 species